rnacentral:SRP_RNA from 1 species
GCCGGGCGCGGUGGCUCACGCCUGUAAUCCCAGCACUUUGGGAGGCUGAGGUGGGUGGAUCACCUGAGGUCAGGAGUUCGAGACCAGCCUGGCCAACAUGGUGAANUUCACCAUGUUGGCCAGGCUGGUCUCGAACUCCUGACCUCAGGUGAUCCACCCACCUCAG